rnacentral:rRNA from 1 species
UACAGAGGUCUCAACCGUUGUUCGGAUUCAUUGGGCGUAAAGGGUGCGCAGGCGGCCGUGUGUGUGAGGCGUGAAAGCCCGGGGCUUAACCCCGGAAUUGCACCUCAAACUACAUGGCUAGAGCAUUGGAGAGGGUAGCAGAAUUCAUGGUGUAGCAGUGAAAUGCGUAGAUAUCAUGAGGAAUACCAGAGGCGAAGGCGGCUACCUGGACAAUUGCUGACGCUCAGGCACGAAAGCGUGGGGAGCAAAAGGG